GGGGGUGCAAUGGUUUCGACGGGGGUGAUGAAGCGAAAGCGGCGUGCCGCCGGUCCUAGUGACGGCGUAAAACCACUAGGAAAAAUAAGUGCGAACGACGGGACUUACGCCUACGCUGUUGCGGCUUGAUUCAAAGCACGCAACCGUUGUGAGCAGGGCGCCGGUCCCCUGCUUGUGACGUAAUCAAGGCUGGCUAGGCACCUUUCUGGCGCGCAGAAAGGUGCGACACGCUGCUGCGCUAGAUCCAAAGGGCCUGCCCGUGGGCGUCCUAUGGGUCGAAGCCAAUACACGGGCUACGCACGUAGUCGCUGUAGCGGAGCACCCUCGGACGCGGGUUCGAUUCCCGCCACCUCCAAUU
rnacentral:tmRNA from 1 species